rnacentral:rRNA from 1 species
UCAGUAACGGCGAGUGAAGCGGCAACAGCUCAAAUUUGAAAUCUGGCCCUAGGCCCGAGUUGUAAUUUGCAGAGGAUGCUUUUGGUGCGGUGCCUUCCAAGUUCCCUAGAACGGGACGCCAGAGAGGGUGAGAGCCCCGUACAGUUGGACACCAAGCCUUUGUAAAGCUCCUUCGACGAGUCGAGUAGUUUGGGAAUGCUGCUCAAAAUGGGAGGUAUAUUUCUUCUAAAGCUAAAUACCGGCCAGAGACCGAUAGCGCACAAGUAGAGUGAUCGAAAGAUGAAAAGCACUUUGAAAAGAGGGUUAAACAGCACGUGAAAUUGUUAAAAGGGAAGCGCUUGUGACCAGACUUGCGUCCGGUGAAUCACCCAGCUCUCGCGGCUGGGGCACUUCGCCGGCUCAGGCCAGCAUCAGCUCGCUGUCGGGGACAAAAGCUUCAGGAACGUAGCUCUCUUCGGGGAGUGUUAUAGCCUGUUGCACAAUACCCUUCGGCGGGCUGAGGUACGCGCUCCGCAAGGAUGCUGGCAUAAUGGUCAUCAGCGACCCGUCUUGAAAACACGGACCAAGGAGUCAACCUUAUGUGCGAGUGUUCGGGUGUCAAACCCCCUACGCGUAAUGAAAGUGAACGCAGGUGAGAGCUUCGGCGCAUCAUCGACCGAUCCUGAUGUUCUCGGAUGGAUUUGAGUAAGAGCAUAUAGGGUUGGACCCGAAAGAAGGUGAACUAUGCGUGU